rnacentral:rRNA from 1 species
UACGGAGGAUCCAAGCGUUAUCCGGAUUUAUUGGGUUUAAAGGGUGCGUAGGUGGCUUUUUAAGUCAGGGGUGAAAGACGGAUGGCUCAACCAUCGCAGUGCCUUUGAUACUGAGAAGCUUGAUUAAACUUGAGGCAGGCGGAAUGUGACAAGUAGCGGUGAAAUGCAUAGAUAUGUCACAGAACACCGAUUGCGAAGGCAGCUUGCUAAGGUUUUAAUGACGCU